AGUUAGAUUGCUGAGGUUCUGGGAGGCCAGAAAUGUCAAGCAUGGUGGAGAACUCAUGUGGCUUGAUCUGCUCAUGGUGGAUGUAAAUCUAAGCAAUUUUUUCAUAUCUUCAUAGUUGUGUAUUUAAAUAAUUCCGGCCAGCUGAUCUGUCUAAUGAAUCUGAGAUCUAUCGACCUCUAGUGUUUCAGGCGACUAUUAUGCAAGCCACCAUUAAUGCUAACCGGCUUGCAACAUUCCGGUCUCGGCUCACCGUUGGGUCGAUGUAUUCCAUCUCCGGAUUUUAUGUGGAUCGAUGUGUGCAAAACUACAGGCUUACCAACUCUUACUUACUGAUCCGGUUCAAUGAUUCAAACUCCUUAGAUGAGUUAACCGAGCUGGUAUCUCCAUUGCCUGAAGAAGGCUUCCGGUUCCGAAACCAAACCGAGCUGCUUGGUUUAGCUAACACGAACACUCAGCAACCAGGAACACAUCUUGCGUCUCAGUACCGUAUUUAAACCUGCUAGGCAUUCAAGGAACGAUCAUGGAGUUGCCCUAGAUGAAUUCAAGAAGAGUAACGACGAUAGUGGCGUUGAAAAAAUCUUAUAUUAUUCUCUCUUAGGUCUAUCAUAACGAUAAAAUGUGUGACGAUGAGAUUCAAGGAGAAGAUGCUUCAGAACCUUGCCUUGCUCGAAAGAGAAGAAAAGAAACUGAAAGAUCAAGCUAUGCUCUUUCACCAAAACCAAGGAAAUUAGUUGCUCAUAGAGUAAAGGUAUGGGAAUUCUUUACCCGAAUAGAAGAUGAUCCUACACAAAACAAUUGUUGUUUAUGUGAAUUUUUAGAAGCUGAUGAAAGUAGCACUUAAAACAUGUACUGUAUGUGUUCUCCACGUAGAACUUAGUGUACUUUGGUUCCUUUUUGUAUUUGAUUCAGCUUAAGUUACAAUAUUGUGUUUGUUCAAGACUUUUAGAUGCAAGUUUUUUUCUUUUCUUUGAUCACUAAGUUUAAGUACAACGUAAAUUUGAAAUUUUUAUUGAGUGUGUUGUAAUAUGUUUGAAAUUGACUAUUGGUAUAAAAUUUUGAAUAAUA